CUUUUACCAAAAAGAUAACGUUGUAAUAAACAAUGAUUUAACUGACGCUUAUCUCGCGUUAGAUAUUCCGAAAUGGCGGAGACUAAAGAUAUAAAUGUCGCAGUAAAGUAGUUAAAUCGCAGAAAGUUAAUUGAAAAUCUAGACAGUUUAUUAAAGAUCGAUAUUUAAUCAGGUCGUUAGCAUUUUAAUUUAAAUAAAGCAGCGUCGAAAACGUUUAACUAUCUGUCUGACCGAAAGCCAGCGUUUUGAUUAAUAAUGUAAAACAAGAUGGCGGUCACGACAACAGCUGAUUACUUUUAGAGUCUUUCUGUUGGCAAACGUUGUGCAACGUUGGUAUGUUGUUGUGAUCGUGAAGAACUGAGAGCUUGGAAAUUCCGUGUUUUGUUUUAUUGUAAAUGGCUAGGUUAGGUUAGUAAUAAUGCUUAAAAUGCCAUUAAUAAAGGUAAAACAAACCAAAAAAAUUACCAAAUAUCUGCAGCAGAGCAGGUUUUAUUUUUUCUAAUUAAAGAAACAUAAAACAAAA